GAUGAACGCUGGCGGCGUGCCUAAUACAUGCAAGUCGAGCGAACUGAUUAGAAGCUUGCUUCUAUGACGUUAGCGGCGGACGGGUGAGUAACACGUGGGCAACCUGCCUGUAAGACUGGGAUAACUUCGGGAAACCAAAGCUAAUACCGGAUAGGAUCUUCUCCUUCAUGGGAGAUGAUUGAAAGAUGGUUUCGGCUAUCACUUACAGAUGGGCCCGCGGUGCAUUAGCUAGUUGGUGAGGUAACGGCUCACAAAGGCAACGAUGCAUGGCCGACCUGAGAGGGUGAUCGGCCACACUGGGACUGAGACACGGCCCAGACUCCUACGGGAGGCAGCAGUAGGGAAUCUUCCGCAAUGGACAAAAGUCUGACGGAGCAACGCCGCGUGAGUGAUGAAGGCUUUCGGGUCGUAAAACUCUGUUGUUAGGGAAGAACAAGUACAAGAGUAACUGCUUGUACCUUGACGGUACCUAACCAGAAAGCCACGGCUAACUACGUGCCAGCCGCCGCCGUAAAAC
rnacentral:rRNA from 1 species